UACAGAGGGUGCGAGCGUUGUCCGGAAUCACUGGGCGUAAAGGGCGCGUAGGCGGCUUUGCAAGUGGCGGGUGAAAUCCCUCGGCUUAACCGAGGAACUGCCUGUCAAACUGCAUGGCUUGAGACCAGGAGAGGUGAGUGGAAUUCCCAGUGUAGCGGUGAAAUGCGUAGAUAUUGGGAGGAACACCAGUGGCGAAGGCGGCUCACUGGACUGGUACUGACGCUGAUGCGCGAAAGCGUGGGGAGCAAACAGG
rnacentral:rRNA from 1 species